rnacentral:rRNA from 1 species
GAUGAACGCUGGCGGCGUGCCUAAUACAUGCAAGUCGAGCGAACGGACGAGAAGCUUGCUUCUCUGAUGUUAGCGGCGGACGGGUGAGUAACACGUGGAUAACCUACCUAUAAGACUGGGAUAACUUCGGGAAACCGGAGCUAAUACCGGAUAAUAUUUUGAACCGCAUGGUUCAAAAGUGAAAGACGGUCUUGCUGUCACUUAUAGAUGGAUCCGCGCUGCAUUAGCUAGUUGGUAAGGUAACGGCUUACCAAGGCAACGAUGCAUAGCCGACCUGAGAGGGUGAUCGGCCACACUGGAACUGAGACACGGUCCAGACUCCUACGGGAGGCAGCAGUAGGGAAUCUUCCGCAAUGGGCGAAAGCCUGACGGAGCAACGCCGCGUGAGUGAUGAAGGUCUUCGGAUCGUAAAACUCUGUUAUUAGGGAAGAACAUAUGUGUAAGUAACUGUGCACAUCUUGACGGUACCUAAUCAGAAAGCCACGGCUAACUACGUGCCAGCAGCCGCGGUAAUACGUAGGUGGCAAGCGUUAUCCGGAAUUAUUGGGCGUAAAGCGCGCGUAGGCGGUUUUUUAAGUCUGAUGUGAAAGCCCACGGCUCAACCGUGGAGGGUCAUUGGAAACUGGAAAACUUGAGUGCAGAAGAGGAAAGUGGAAUUCCAUGUGUAGCGGUGAAAUGCGCAGAGAUAUGGAGGAACACCAGUGGCGAAGGCGACUUUCUGGUCUGUAACUGACGCUGAUGUGCGAAAGCGUGGGGAUCGAACAGGAUUAGAUACCCUGGUAGUCCACGCCGUAAACGAUGAGUGCUAAGUGUUAGGGGGUUUCCGCCCCUUAGUGCUGCAGCUAACGCAUUAGGCACUCCGCCUGGGGAGUACGACCGCAAGGUUGAAACUCAAAGGAAUUGACGGGGACCCGCACAAGCGGUGGAGCAUGUGGUUUAAUUCGAAGCAACGCGAAGAACCUUACCAAAUCUUGACAUCCUUUGACAACUCUAGAGAUAGAGCCUUCCCCUUCGGGGGACAAAGUGACAGGUGGUGCAUGGUUGUCGUCAGCUCGUGUCGUGAGAUGUUGGGUUAAGUCCCGCAACGAGCGCAACCCUUAAGCUUAGUUGCCAUCAUUAAGUUGGGCACUCUAAGUUGACUGCCGGUGACAAACCGGAGGAAGGUGGGGAUGACGUCAAAUCAUCAUGCCCCUUAUGAUUUGGGCUACACACGUGCUACAAUGGACAAUACAAAGGGCAGCGAAACCGCGAGGUCAAGCAAAUCCCAUAAAGUUGUUCUCAGUUCGGAUUGUAGUCUGCAACUCGACUACAUGAAGCUGGAAUCGCUAGUAAUCGUAGAUCAGCAUGCUACGGUGAAUACGUUCCCGGGUCU